GACGUAGGGCGCGAGCGUUGUCCGGAUUUAUUGGGCGUAAAGAGCUCGUAGGCGGCUCGUCGCGUCGACCGUGAAAACCCGCAGCUUAACUGCGGGCCUGCGGUUGAUACGGGCGGGCUAGAGUUCGGUAGGGGAGACUGGAAUUCCUGGUGUAGCGGUGAAAUGCGCAGAUAUCAGGAGGAACACCGGUGGCGAAGGCGGGUCUCUGGGCCGAUACUGACGCUGAGGAGCGAAAGCGUGGGGAGCAAACAGG
rnacentral:rRNA from 1 species